GUUUGUUUUAUAUCUCAACAACAGACAACUACAUUAAAAUGUUUAAAUCUUUGUUGAUUUUUGCUCUUUUGGCAGUUGCUUUCGUAGCAGCUAAACCUGAUCCAUCUCCAAUUGUGUACUCAUCUUACUCAUCAGCUGCGUAUCCGUAUGCGUAUUCUGCCCCAUAUGCCGGAUACUCUUUCGCAGGUUUUCCAUCCUUGGGCUACGGUGCUGGACUCUACGGAUAUUAUUAAAUCAGCAUAAAGUUACCAAUGAGAUUGUAUUAAAAUAUUUACUAUAAAGUUGAUUUCUAUUGGAUAGGAAUAAAGUGUAUUUGUAAUAUAAA